rnacentral:rRNA from 1 species
GAUGAACGCUGGCGGCGUGCCUAAUACAUGCAAGUCGAGCGAACAGACGAGGAGCUUGCUCCUUUGACGUUAGCGGCGGACGGGUGAGUAACACGUGGGUAACCUACCUAUAAGACUGGGAUAACUUCGGGAAACCGGAGCUAAUACCGGAUAAUAUUUCGAACCGCAUGGUUCGAUAGUGAAAGAUGGCUUUGCUAUCACUUAUAGAUGGACCUGCGCCGUAUUAGCUAGUUGGUAAGGUAACGGCUUACCAAGGCAACGAUACGUAGCCGACCUGAGAGGGUGAUCGGCCACACUGGAACUGAGACACGGUCCAGACUCCUACGGGAGGCAGCAGUAGGGAAUCUUCCGCAAUGGGCGAAAGCCUGACGGAGCAACGCCGCGUGAGUGAUGAAGGUCUUCGGAUCGUAAAACUCUGUUAUUAGGGAAGAACAAACGUGUAAGUAACUGUGCACGUCUUGACGGUACCUAAUCAGAAAGCCACGGCUAACUACGUGCCAGCAGCCGCGGUAAUACGUAGGUGGCAAGCGUUAUCCGGAAUUAUUGGGCGUAAAGCGCGCGUAGGCGGUUUUUUAAGUCUGAUGUGAAAGCCCACGGCUCACCCGUGGAGGGUCAUUGGAAACUGGAAAACUUGAGUGCAUAAGAGGAAAGUGGAAUUCCAUGUGUAGCGGUGAAAUGCGCAGAGAUAUGGAGGAACACCAGUGGCGAAGGCGACUUUCUGGUCUGUAACUGACGCUGAUGUGCGAAAGCGUGGGGAUCAAACAGGAUUAGAUACCCUGGUAGUCCACGCCGUAAACGAUGAGUGCUAAGUGUUAGGGGGUUUCCGCCCCUUAGUGCUGCAGCUAACGCAUUAAGCACUCCGCCUGGGGAGUACGACCGCAAGGUUGAAACUCAAAGGAAUUGACGGGGACCCGCACAAGCGGUGGAGCAUGUGGUUUAAUUCGAAGCAACGCGAAGAACCUUACCAAAUCUUGACAUCCUUUGACCCUUCUAGAGAUAGAAGUUUCCCCUUCGGGGGACAAAGUGACAGGUGGUGCAUGGUUGUCGUCAGCUCGUGUCGUGAGAUGUUGGGUUAAGUCCCGCAACGAGCGCAACCCUUAAGCUUAGUUGCCAUCAUUAAGUUGGGCACUCUAAGUUGACUGCCGGUGACAAACCGGAGGAAGGUGGGGAUGACGUCAAAUCAUCAUGCCCCUUAUGAUUUGGGCUACACACGUGCUACAAUGGACAAUACAAAGGGCAGCGAAACCGCGAGGUCAAGCAAAUCCCAUAAAGUUGUUCUCAGUUCGGAUUGUAGUCUGCAACUCGACUACAUGAAGCUGGAAUCGCUAGCAAUCGUAGAUCAGCAUGCUACGGUGAAUACGUUCCCGGGUCU